rnacentral:rRNA from 1 species
GACGCCCGCUUUCUUCUUGCUUAACACAUGCAAGUCGAACGGAAAGGCCCUGCUUUUGUGGGGUGCUCGAGUGGCGAACGGGUGAGUAACACGUGAGUAACCUGCCCUUGACUUUGGGAUAACUUCAGGAAACUGGGGCUAAUACCGGAUAGGAGCUCCUGCUGCAUGGUGGGGGUUGGAAAGUUUCGGCGGUUGGGGAUGGACUCGCGGCUUAUCAGCUUGUUGGUGGGGUAGUGGCUUACCAAGGCUUUGACGGGUAGCCGGCCUGAGAGGGUGACCGGCCACAUUGGGACUGGAAUACGGCCCAGACUCCUACGGGAGGCAGCAGUGGGGAAGAUUGCACAAUGGGCGGAAGCCUGAUGCAGCAACGCCGCGUGCGGGAUGACGGCCUUCGGUUUGUAAACCGCUUUCGCCUGUGACGAAGCGUGAGUGACGGUAAUGGGUAAAGAAGCACCGGCUAACUACGUG